AUGAUCUACGGAUUCGAGUCGUCACCAUCUUCUUCGUCAUCAGACGAUGACUUUCCUGUCGUUCCCGAAAUGCGUCCAACCGACCUGUUGAGUUUGGCCAUGAAGAAGCGUCGUGCAUUGUACAACCAGAAGGAAAGGAACAUGCGGUGCGAGGUUUUGCAAACCUCGUUUAUUACUAGUUUGUAAUGAUCAACAUCAGCUGUGCGUCGCCGAACCAAUCGCCAAGAAAGCCAAAACAAGCAACUUCAUGGAUCCCUUCGGACUGGAAGAUUUCUUCAAGGGAAUUAGUUCCCGAUCUGUUAAAGGCAACUCGACUCCGAAGUCACUGGAGGAUAGCGCUUGAAGACCGUCGUUCAUCAGGAUCUCACCGAUUUCAUAUUACGGGCAUCGUCUCAAUAGGACAACUUGAAAUAAACAUGGUUUUUUAAUACAUACCUCUUCAAUA
rnacentral:misc_RNA from 1 species